rnacentral:rRNA from 1 species
GGAUGAACGCUGGCGGCGUGCCUACUCCAUGCAAGUCGAGCGAACAGACGAGGAGCUUGCUCCUCUGACGUUAGCGGCGGACGGGUGAGUAACACGUGGAUAACCUACCUAUAAGACUGGGAUAACUUCGGGAAACCGGAGCUAAUACCGGAUAAUAUAUUGAACCGCAUGGUUCAAUAGUGAAAGACGGUUUUGCUGUCACUUAUAGAUGGAUCCGCGCCGCAUUAGCUAGUUGGUAAGGUAACGGCUUACCAAGGCGACGAUGCGUAGCCGACCUGAGAGGGUGAUCGGCCACACUGGAACUGAGACACGGUCCAGACUCCUACGGGAGGCAGCAGUAGGGAAUCUUCCGCAAUGGGCGAAAGCCUGACGGAGCAACGCCGCGUGAGUGAUGAAGGUCUUCGGAUCGUAAAACUCUGUUAUUAGGGAAGAACAAAUGUGUAAGUAACUAUGCACGUCUUGACGGUACCUAAUCAGAAAGCCACGGCUAACUACGUG